AUUAAGAAAGACUCUCCUGAUGAGCCUGAUUCUGACUCUGAAGAUGAACUAACAGAGGAAGAAAACCAGAGUGAUGCAUCCAGUACAGAGAUGCAAGAGGAGUCACAGUCCAGUGGAACUGUGGGAAGACUGAGGCCCAAACCUGCUUAUCUGAGCUUAAAUCCAAAAAGCCAAAAGCAAAGUCUUGCUGUGACCUUGAACAGCUGCUCCCAGAGGCAGAAGAUAAGAUAUUUCCCUACUGAAAAGAGCAUUUUCUGUAACAUCCUGGUGAAGGGGCUCACAAGGGAAAGCUGCUCUGUGCCUCCACUCUCGCUAUCCCCAGUCCUGUCUGCUCAGCUACAUUGCUGGGAUUUUUGAUUUGCAGCAACUGAGCUGUUUUGCACCUCACUUUCUUCUCUCACCUGGAAAUAUGUCUGCCUGAUGCUCCAGACCUUUAACAUCCUGAGGACUCUACUGCUGCCAUCCUAUCUGGUUACCUAUGUGGCUCAGCUGUUUGCUUUGCUGGGUGAAAAAGCUGGGAAAAUCCUGGGCUCCCUGAGGCUGGAGAGCAGAGCACUGUUGCUUUCAGUGCUGGGGAAGAAACUACAGCUGAGUCAAGCUCAGAGAACCACCUCAGGGUGAAAUAAAGCAGGGAGUCCCAUGGCAAUCCAGGUCAGCACUGGUGACAGCUACUGCACCGUGGCAGAGGGAGGGGAAUGCUCUGGAAAAGAAACCCACUCAAGGCUAAGUCAGCACCUACUCAGCUGCUUUCAGAAUGCUGACAGCCUAAAUGUGAGAUGGAUGGCAGCCAAUUUCUUGUCCAUUCUGCUCCACUCCCACCUCAGAGGGAUAAGCUCCUUUUUUAUAAGGACCAAGCACUCCACCAACAGUAAUCUUUGAUUUCAAAUAAGAUCAAAUAGUCUCUCUCUGUAGUAGCUCUUACUGGAUUUUAAAUGCAAUACAGCCAUAGGAUUAUUAUACUUAGAGUCCAAUUAGCACUUCUCUCAUCUGCAGCUUGUCAGUUCCCAAAGUAGGAAACGACUUUUCAACACUCAGGUCUAAAAAAAUUAAGCAGGUCUACCUCCAAUUAACAAGAAAUAAUUAAGCCCUCUGCAGAUCCUGAGCGUGCAUGUCCCUGAUUUCCGUUCAGGCUUUGCUUUUCGGCACAGCUGGCAGGCUGAUGUGAGGUAGAGUACAGCCUAGAGAGGCACUCACCAACAGCUUGAUUUAACCAGUUAUUGGAACCACAAGGAGGGUGAGGAGCCUGAGAUGAGCCAUCGCUUUGUAGCCCAAGGGUUUAUCGAGGUGCUGGGUUCCGAACAGAACAGCUGUGUGCUCUUGUGUUGAUGCACACGUUCAACACACUCUUUUGUUUUCAAGAGGGCCUGAAUUACGAAGUAAUUCAAUGAACACGCUGCCGCUUGUGAAAGUCAUUGUUCCCGCUGCCCAUGUGCGGUGCCUGUCUCUCCAGAGCCUUACACACUGAGAAGCACCAGCCCGCAACAGCGAUGAAACCUGCCCUGCUUGUGUUUGCC